rnacentral:rRNA from 1 species
CAACUCGCCUGCAUGAAGCCGGAAUCGCUAGUAAUCGCGGAUCAGCAUGCCGCGGUGAAUACGUUCCCGGGCCUUGUACACACCGCCCGUCACACCACGAGAGUUUGCAACACCCGAAGUCGGUGAGGUAACCUUUAUGGAGCCAGCCGCCGAAGGUGGGGCAGAUGAUUGGGGUGAAGUCGUAACAAGGUAGCCGUAUCGGAAGGUGCGGCUGGAUCACCUCCUUUCUAAGGA